rnacentral:lncRNA from 1 species
CAAGGAUUUUCUGGCUGUCACUCAUUGCAAUUCUGAUGGUGCUAAUGAAAUGCUGGCGUCAGCCAUGUGUGCUAUCAACCUGGGAGACUGCAGCAGGUGUUGUUCCCUUUAUAAAGAUGACUAUGCACAAGCAACCAAUCUCUUCUCAUCUGGAAGUGUGGCAAGUGGUAUGUAAAUACAAAGAGGGAGAUACAAUACUAGCUGUCCUUUGCAGGUGUUAUGUGUGACCCCUCUUUUCUCAGUUCAUGGGAGCCACGGGGAACAGCAAUGUGUGGGCAGAAAAUGCAUCCAAGCUCUCUGCCACAGGAAGAGUCUGCUCUGAGAAGAGCUGAUGCCUGAACUCUGGGUUUUUCCCUGUAAAGAGUCCUAGGCUGUAUGGCUGUUUCUUAAGUAUGGGAUCUGGAUCAGAACUGUUUGUUUCCUGUAAUGAAAUGACAUUUGAAUGGACCUAAUUCUGCAGCCCGUCUAGAUUGAUUGCAAAGCGUGUGAAACAUACUUUAGCCCCAGAACUUCAGAGUUCAUUUUAAAGACUUGUCAGAGAUAAGAAACAAGCCAGAAAAUGAUAUUUACCUCUAAUUGUGUUUUGUUGUUAGGCCUUGAGCAGAGAGAGGAAGCAAGAACGCCAUUUAGGUGCACCACCCUAGCCAAAAAAAUACAUGUGUGUAUAAACAAUACAAAUUCCUCACAUCAAACCUUUAACCUUUCACUGGGUGUGUUAUAUCUUACAGCACUGUUCACUACCCACCAGCAUUGGCAGCCCUUCUUCUGAGCUCGAAGGGAAGCAUGGCCCUGACUCCCCAGAUCUUGAGAUCUCAGAAAAGAGUGAAAAUGCCUUAUGGCUCUGUGACUGAGGGGGUCAGGCCAUAGGGUAGCAUGAGAAGGCUGUUGCAAUGUGGAAAGGGAAGGUCUUCAAAUCCAGAUUUGAUCUUCAGGACUGCGCAAUUGGAGCUAUCCUGGUGUUGCAGCAUUGCUGGUACAAAGAGAAGAGAAGCAGCGCUCAUACAUUUAAAGAGGAGGAAGACAAGAACGAGGCUGAUAGAUUCAUUUUUCAGACGGUGUUGUAUUUUUGGAUGCUGACAGGCUUUAACGUGAGUUAUUGUCAUCCAAGUUUAUUGAUUGGUUGAAUUGUUUUGCCUGCCCUAAAUGUCCCUCAGAUGUACUUGUUCCACAAGGCUUGUCACCUAAUCACCUCUGCAAUAACAAAAAUCUCUGUCAUAUCCUCUUUGUUUGUAGUCAAGUUUUGGCAUUGCUGCUACUCAUCAAAUUCAUGGCUUUAGUGCAGUUUCUAGGUAAACUCAGGAAGGUGUCUUCUCAAGGUGCACCUGAGCCAAGAAAUACAACAAUGAGAAGAGUUGUUACAUAAAUUUCAGCUGCUCACCUGUAGUGGGAAUGAGGUCGCAAUCUAUAUUAGUCAACACUUAUCUAUGGAAAGAAUCAAAGCAACACAGAAAAACCUCACUUUUCUCCUAAUCGUGUUGUUCCA